rnacentral:rRNA from 1 species
GAUGAACGCUGGCGGCGUGCCUAAUACAUGCAAGUCGAGCGAACAGACGAGGAGCUUGCUCCUCUGACGUUAGCGGCGGACGGGUGAGUAACACGUGGAUAACCUACCUAUAAGACUGGGAUAACUUCGGGAAACCGGAGCUAAUACCGGAUAAUAUAUUGAACCGCAUGGUUCAAUAGUGAAAGACGGUUUUGCUGUCACUUAUAGAUGGAUCCGCGCCGCAUUAGCUAGUUGGUAAGGUAACGGCUUACCAAGGCAACGAUGCGUAGCCGACCUGAGAGGGUGAUCGGCCACACUGGAACUGAGACACGGGCCAGACUCCUACGGGAGGCAGCAGUAGGGAAUCGUCCGCAAUGGGCGAAAGCCUGACGGAGCAACGCCGCGUGAAUGAUGAAGGUCGUCGGAUCGUAAAACUCUGUUAUUAGUGAAGAACAAAUGUGUAAGUAACUAUGCACGUCUUGACGGUACCUAAUCAGAAAGCCACGGCUAACUACGUG